AUUGAACGCUGGCGGCAUGCCUUACACAUGCAAGUCGAACGGUAACAGGUCUUCGGAUGCUGACGAGUGGCGAACGGGUGAGUAAUACAUCGGAACGUGCCCGAUCGUGGGGGAUAACGGAGCGAAAGCUUUGCUAAUACCGCAUACGAUCUACGGAUGAAAGCAGGGGACCGCAAGGCCUUGCGCGGACGGAGCGGCCGAUGGCAGAUUAGGUAGUUGGUGGGAUAAAAGCUUACCAAGCCGACGAUCUGUAGCUGGUCUGAGAGGGCGACCAGCCACACUGGGACUGAGACACGGCCCAGACUCCUACGGGAGGCAGCAGUGGGGAAUUUUGGACAAUGGGCGAAAGCCUGAUCCAGCCAUGCCGCGUGCAGGAUGAAGGCCUUCGGGUUGUAAACUGCUUUUGUACGGAACGAAAAGGCUCUUUCUAAUAAAGAGGGUUCAUGACGGUACCGUAAGAAUAAGCACCGGCUAACUACGUGCCAGCCGCCGCUGUAA
rnacentral:rRNA from 1 species